GGUCUUUUACGUCGGCCUUCGCGAGCGUCUGGGCGGGUGGUAGGAACAAUGGCGCUGUCUUCAGUGGCACAGUGGAGCAGCUCUGAAGAUGCAAAGUGAGGGUCGCUGUCUGCCCAUUGAUAGAGGCCAGAUUGUCUUGGAAGUUCCAAAGUUGCAACGAUUUCUUUAGUUGAAUCCAUGGACAUGAAACCCACAGAUAUAGAGGGUUGGCCCGGUGCAGUGGCUCACGCCUGUAAUCCCAGCACUUUGGGAGGCCAAGGCGGGUGGAUCACCUGAGGUCAGAAGCUUGAGACCAGCCUGGCCAACAUGGUAAAACCCCAUCUCUACUAAUAAUACAAAACAAUUUGCUGGGCAUGGUGGUGCACGCUUGUAAUCCAAGCUACUCCAGAGGCUGAGGCAGAAGAAUCGCUUGAAUCCGAGAGGCAAAGGUUGCAGUGAGCCCAGAUCACACCACUGCUCUCCAACCUGGGCAACAAGAGCAAAACUCCGUCAAAAAAAAAAGAUACAGGGUCAACUGUACACAUUAAACACUUCUAUCAACUAGUGAUGUCAGUCUUGUCCAUUGUAUUAUUGCCUAUCUUACUAAACAGUCAUAUUUCAGGAAGUACAAUAUACUCAAAAACUAAGUUAAUGUUCUUUGUAGAUUUAUGGUUAAUGGAUGAUUCAUAUAAUAGAAACUUAAAUUUAUUUGACCAUUCUAUUUAAUAUAGAAUAAAUACAACUAGCCAGGCAUGGUGGCUCAUGUCUAUAAUG
rnacentral:lncRNA from 10 species